rnacentral:rRNA from 1 species
CACAUUUACCCGGUCUCCCUGCCGGGGGGGCGGCCCCGGCGCGUCCCCCCCGGNGACCCUGGCGCGGGCCCCAGGAACCGGUCCCUCUCUUUCUGUGAUCCCCUGGCCUAUCUGAGUUUAUGCUCUGAUAAAAAAUUCCUUUGAAUCCGGAUCUCUAGAACCGAGCUCUUGGUACUGGCGUCGAUGAAUAACGCAACUAAUGGGAAUUGGUAAUGUGAAUUGAUCAAUUCAUCGAAUCACCCAAUCUGUGACCGCCCAUUGUGCCGGCCGGAUUUCUGGCGGGGAUGCCUGUCCGAGCGUCAUUUCAACCGUCGGACCCGUGGGGGGGAUCGGGGUCGGGGAUCCGGACCCCUCACACGGGUGCCGGCCCCGAAAUACACGGGCGGUCUCGCCGCAGCCUCUCCUGCGCAGUAGUUUGCAGAACUCGCACCGGGAGCGCGGCGCGUCCACCCCCGUAAAACACCCAACUUUCUGAAAUGUUGACCUCUGAUCAGGUAGGAAUACCCGCUGAACUUAAGCAUAUCAAUAGGCGGA